UACAGAGGGGGCAAGCGUUGUUCGGAAUUACUGGGCGUAAAGGGCGCGUAGGCGGCCCGCUAAGUCGAACGUGAAAUCCCCGAGCUCAACUCGGGAACUGCGUCCGAUACUGGUGGGCUUGAAUCCGGGAGAGGGAUGCGGAAUUCCAGGUGUAGCGGUGAAAUGCGUAGAUAUCAGGAGGAACACCGGUGGCGAAGGCGGGUCUCUGGGCAACAACUGACGCUGAGGAGCGAAAGCGUGGGGAGCGAACAGG
rnacentral:rRNA from 1 species